UAAGAAGAGUACUGACAAAUAGGCUGAAUAAACGCAGAUCUCGAAGGCCUGAAACAGCGCUUAAGGCGUUGUACCAAACUCAUAGUGAGCCAUAUGUCAGCUGUAGUCCAUGGUUUUGCAGGGUGAAUGUAAUCAUUAUCUCAGUAAGAGGGAAUUAGAGGGGGGUAAAGUGGGUGCCAGCACCAGCGGUUAAACCCAUCGCCUCAAAGAAAAAGAGUCGAGUAGUGGAGGGAAAGUAGAUAAAAGUAUUAAAGUUAAUCUUUCUGUCUUUGUGUGGUGUAGAAUCCUAAAUGAAGAUAUGGUAAAACAGAUAAUAAGCUUCUUUUCCGUAGGGCUGUAGAGUUAGUGACGGGGUAAAUCCCCUUAGCAAUGUUCGUGUUCGGGCGAAGAGUGGUUGAAUACCAUGGGAAGUCAAUAUACUUGGCGGUGUUAUGAAUUCGGUCAGGGGAGUUUGGCGGUUAAUUCGAUGUACCGCGAGAACCUUACCUCAUAUGUUUCUAUCUGUACGGCCGUUGUCAGUGCCCCCUAAAGGGGUGCGCGGGAUUCCUUAACCUUAAAAACUGUUAAGGCACAAGGUAUAAUUCAGGUAAAUGUGGAGGGAGUGAUGAGGCCUUAGCUGAGCUACAAUAUACGUUAUACACGGACUUCGUCUGAAAUGGCGAAAGUGAUGAGCUUUAUCUAGUUUAAGCAGGCGUGAAUAAUUUCUGUGUGUUUAUGCUUUAAACGCAUGGGAAUGUUAAAUAUGCUUACAUGAACUUUGAGAGCGGAUCACGUAGAAGGUGGACUUGAAAGUAAGAAGAUGAGAAGAAGGCUCUUCUGAAUUGUUAGUCGUAACGCGUACAAACCGCCCGGCGCUCUUGUAUUAAAAAGUCUAGAUAAGUCGUAACAUGGAAAAGUCAGCCAAAGCUGUCUUUAGUAAAAU
rnacentral:rRNA from 1 species